UUGGUCGUUUUCCAAAUUGUG
ensembl:piRNA 21ur-4227 ncRNA